UAUUUAACUUUUAUAGGUUUUAAGUCGCCUCAUGGUAAACAUGUUUAUUUGAUAAGUCAUGUUUAACAUGCUACGCAGACUGCUAUUUUUAAAUGUUGAGCUAACAUAAAUGGGAAAUAUAACAAAACGCGCCUUAAACUGAACUCAGACCAGCGCUUGCACAGCAGUCUGAUAGGACCGAUCUCCGAAUUGAUACACGUGAUAAAACCACAACCUGUGAGUAAAGUUGUUAAAAAACAAUGUCGUUUGAUAGCAAAAAUAUCUACAACAAUGUAUUUUUGAGGUGAUUCCUUACUGACAGGAAAGUUCAUCUGACAGAAAUAGGUUUAAGUUAAUCAGCUAACUUAUUUUUAACAAAUAAAUUUCCUUUAUUAAAAAGGAAAGUCUAUAAAUAUUUUGAUGCUUUCAUUUAUGUUAUUAUUUUAUACUCUGCAAGAUACUGUUGUAUAAUCACUUUUGCUUUACUUCAAUACAGAGAGCCUUGGACAAAAAAAGGCAGAGUACCAGUCAGUGGUUAAAGACACACAAAAUGUGGACAUCAAAACAAAUGGCUACAUUUGCUCGUGAGGAAGAUGAUAACGAAGAGGAUGAGACUCCUUCAAACCAUAAGAUAGUGGAUGAUUCACACUCAACUGCAAAGCAAUGAAAGAACACAUCUGUCACUAAAUUGAACCCAGUCACCUUGGAUUAUGCCCAAAAGUGUGAGAAUUACAAGAAACUCACCAGAACUGUGAUGGACUCCAUUUCCACCUUAGAAAAAAUGACAACAUGCUCUGUCACAGGGAAAAAAGGGACCACUGGUGAACAAAGACAGAGUCCUGACAGAGAAAGUGAAGCUAGUAAUAGGAAGUGAUACUAAACUCGAUGGAAAAGCUAACCACGCCAAAGUGAGGUGAGCUGACCCGACCCAAACUAAACUAAACCGUGGGGUACUAUGCAAUGGAAAAGCGCCAUAAGUGCAGAGGAGCCUGCUGGAAGAGAAUCUGAGGACUGAUGCACAUAUAACAAUGGACAUGCAUAAAGACACAUCUCUAACAAUGGACAUGCAUGAAGACACAUCUCUCUCUCUCUCUCUCUCUCUCUCUCUCUCUCUCUUUCUCUCUCACAUACACACACACUCAGAUAUACAGUUGUUGUUGUAUGGACAGCAUUUUAUUGAUACUUGUUUUUUUAUGAAUAUGUUUGGAUACUUCUUAUAAUUUUCUGUAUGUUUGCAAAUAAAUUCUCCAUUUGAAUCAGUUUUUCCUUACAGUAAAAUGUG